AAUAAACGAAUUUCUGCGUUUUUUUCUAGAAUUUUUGAUUCUUCGUCUUAUUUGAAAUUUUUUUAUAAUUAAUAUUUUAUUGUUACUACAUGAUAAAACAUGAAUAGUACUUUAUGUGUGACUAUUUUUUUUAAUUUUUAAUAAAAUUUUCAAAUAAGACAGAUGGUCAAACGCUCGAUAUUAAAAACCCACAAAUGCUUUUUUU
rnacentral:pre_miRNA from 1 species